CCUACGGGAGGCAGCAGUAGGGAAUCUUCCGCAAUGGACGAAAGUCUGACGGAGCAACGCCGCGUGAACGAUGAAGGCCUUCGGGUCGUAAAGUUCUGUUGUUAGGGAAGAACAAGUGCUAGAGUAACUGCUAGCACCUUGACGGUACCUAACCAGAAAGCCACGGCUAACUACGUGCCAGCAGCCGCGGUAAUACGUAGGUGGCAAGCGUUGUCCGGAAUUAUUGGGCGUAAAGCGCGCGCAGGCGGUUUCUUAAGUCUGAUGUGAAAGCCCACGGCUCAACCGUGGAGGGUCAUUGGAAACUGGGAAACUUGAGUGCAGAAGAGGAGAGUGGAAUUCCACGUGUAGCGGUGAAAUGCGUAGAGAUGUGGAGGAACACCAGUGGCGAAGGCGACUCUCUGGUCUGUAACUGACGCUGAGGCGCGAAAGCGUGGGGAGCG
rnacentral:rRNA from 1 species